UCCCUAGACGAGACGAGAAAGAAACAGCCAGUGCAGCUCAGCUGGGCCGCACGCCUGCGCCUGCUCGACACGUCUCAUCGCAUGCAGGCUCGCCACUGCGCUGCUCAGUACUACGUACAGUAUAUGUUAGGAGCACACCAAGGUUCAAGAAGCACACCAAGCUUGCAAGGAAGGGCCUCCCAUUAUCUCAUCAUCUGACCAGUUGACGCACGUACGCUUGGAUCCAUGAGCAUGGGCAUGGACUCCCCGCAGAAGAAGCUUGGCUCCAUAUCCAUGGACGGCGGCAAGACGCCUCCUCUGCUGCUUGAGGUUGCGGCCCAGCUGGCCAAGAAGGCGAUAGCCGCUUCUCCGUUCCCGGAUGCACACCGGCUGGCCAGCGCUUGGGCGUUCGUCAGCGCCUGGUUCUUCCCCGUCUCCAUCGCCUUCGGCUCCCUCAUCGACCUUCUACUCUGCAGCAAGCUGGGGUGGUGCCAUUUUCUGGAGCGCGAGUGGGACCGGCCCAUAGACAGCGCCCUCUGGAUCGGCCUGUGGUGCUGCCCCGCACUCCAGGCGGCCGUGGCGGCGCUCGCUCUGCUGCUCCCGUCCCGCCACCGCCGGAUCCGCCGUGCCCUUGCCUACCUCGCCGUCUCGGUCGCCAUCGUCGGCCAUUCUUUGAUGGCCAGCCUCGUCCCCCUUGUUGUCGCUGCCUACCCAGGGCCAGGGCUAGGAUACCUCCUGCUCAUCGUCUUGUUCGUCUGCGCCGCGGCGGCGCUGGCGCAGCUGCUCCCGUGCCUCUCCCUCCGGAUCCGCCGUGCCCUCGCCCACCUCGCGCUCGCCAUCGUCGGCCUCUGUAUUUUGGCCAGCUUGGCCCUCGCCGCCGACACAGCAUUCCUCAUCCUCUUGAUCGGCUACUCGGCGGUAAUCUUCACCCUCGCGGUGGGUGACCUCCUCAGCUUCCUGGCCCUCCUCCUCGGAGGCGAGGAGGAGUAGCUGCUGAUCGGCAAGCCGCGAGCUCCAUAUAUCUCCAUGGAUCAGCUCAUGAGAGAAAAGGUGUGCAAAAAAUGCUUAGGGAGGUUUCCAAGAGGCUAUCUCGGGUAGCAAAUGAAGUCUACAGAAGAUCAUAUGGGUGGAAUCCUUCUGCUCUAAGACUGGGUUUUGUGUCUAUCUGAAAUUGGGCGGUUCUGUAGUAUGUUUUGCCUAUUGUUUUGGCUGAUGUGCAAAUUGUAAAAGAUGUUUAAAAGUCUGUUCUCUCUCCGGUAGUGGGUGAUUUGGCAUCCUAUAGAUAUGGUUAUAUGUCUAGGAUGUAGGUUGCUUAUCAGUUGAUGAGGUGAUGCAUCAGAUCUGAUGGAAAAAAGUGCUGUGGUGGUUGUAUCUAGACUUCUAUUUUCUUAAUGAAAACGGGGGCCAUGUGACCCUUUUAUCGAAAAAAAAAGUCAGAUGAACUAAAAUUUCG